AUUGAACGCUGGCGGCAUGCUUUACACAUGCAAGUCGAACGGCAGCACGGACUUCGGUCUGGUGGCGAGUGGCGAACGGGUGAGUAAUACAUCGGAACGUACCGCGUAGUGGGGGACGACAAGUCGAAAGAUUUGCUAAUACCGCAUACACUCUGAGGAGAAAAGCAGGGGACCUUCGGGCCUUGUGCUAUGCGAGCGGCCGAUGGCUGAUUAGCUAGUUGGUGGGGUAAAGGCCUACCAAGGCAACGAUCAGUAGCGGGUCUUAGAGGACGAUCCGCCACACUGGAACUGAGACACGGUCCAGACUCCUACGGGAGGCAGCAGUGGGGAAUCUUGGACAAUGGGCGCAAGCCUGAUCCAGCAAUGCCGCGUGCGUGAAGAAGGCCUUCGGGUUGUAAAGCGCUUUUGUCAGGGAGCAAAGACUGGUGGCUAAUAUCCAUCGGAGUUGAGAGUACCUGAAGAAUAAGGACCGGCUAACUACGUGCCAGCAGCCGCCGUAAGAC
rnacentral:rRNA from 1 species